CAGGAACACAACAAUUUAGUAUAAAUACUCUGUAUCACCUUGUAUUCUGUGCGGAAAUAAUUUGGUUAAGCAUUCUGUCUAGAAUAAGCGACAAGCGCAAUCCGAGGAUGUUUUUUUCAAUGGUCUUCUUUUGUGUAGCUGCUACAUGUAAGAAAUUAUUAUAUUUUUUCAUCAUUUUCCAAGAAAUUAUUAUGUAUGUAAAUAUUUGAAAUGUAUACAAAAACCUUUCUGAACGUUUCCAAAAAGCUAAGACACAUCAAGCGAAUUGAAAACAACUGUCAUAUUUCUGAAUUAGUACAUGCAUUUCUUAUGCAGAAAAUGUUAGAUUAUAUUAUAUUUUUAUAGAAUUUGAUGCGACUGUCAUACAAGUGAGAGGAUUAGCUAGCUAUAAAAUCAUGCUCAAUCUACCAUACAAAUCUACAUAAGAACAUGCCUGUACCAAGUACGGAAUAUGACAAUUGUUAUCCAUUCGUGUGAUGUGUUUCAGGUUUUGAUUUUGCCUUUUGAUUAGAAACUUUCUGUUUUGAACUUUCCUCAAAGUUUAGUAAUUUUUGUGAUUUCACUUUUUAUAACUAGUUGAACUUCUCUCUUGUAUGACAUUAGUUUUACAUUCAGUUAUAUUGUCAACAAUGUGUGAGGAAAAUAAAUAUACAUAUUAGUUAAAACUGUAAAUAAUAGGGUUAAAACCAACUGACCAGGAAGACUCGGAAAUAUCCAUAUUAUACUUCCAAUUGUUAUAAACAUUACAAACAUUUUAUAAUGAAUAAUGAUUUUAACAGAAGAACCAUUUUUUUGUAUCCGAAUGAUUCGGCAAGUUUUAUAAUAUGUCUGUGUUAAAUUAAAAAAGUCGCCAUAAACAAGAUAAAGGGCAAUAACAAUAUGUGAUUUGUUAUUGAAUAACAUUUUAAAAAUAUUAUCCAGAAACAUAUCCUGAUAUAGAUCUUAUAUGAAAACAUAAUACAUUAUUUCAUAGUUGUUGUAUAUUGUUGUAUUUCUUACUUUCUUUCUAUCAUUGAUUUGUUUGACAUUUAAAAGUCAAUGUUUAACAUGUUUUAAACAUUCAUACAUAGAAUCAAGGUUGUUUUUGAAUCUUUUGAAAUCAUUCUAUUGUUAUGAUUAUGUCAUAAAGGUGUUUUUGAAAACAAUCCAAAGAAGCAUCAAUCAAAUGAUAAGAACACUCCAAAAAAGAGUAAAUUAUUGCCCUUUAUCAUUUUAAUGGUGACUAUUAGCUAUUAGACUGUAAACAUUAUGAAAACAUCAGUUUAUUUCAGGUCAGGUUGUGUUUCCAUGCACAUUUCCUUGUGACUGGAUUAAUAAAACACUUUGGCUGUUUAGUGAUUACGGACAUGGAACGCAACUACAUGCUCAUCUGUCUUUCAACGCUGAUGGAACGACGGGG
rnacentral:lncRNA from 1 species